UACGAAGGGGGCUAGCGUUGUUCGGAUUUACUGGGCGUAAAGGGCGCGUAGGCGGUGCAAUAAGUCAGGCGUGAAAGCCCCGGGCUCAACCCGGGAAUUGCGCUUGAUACUGUUGCGCUUGAAUCCAGGAGAGGAUGGCGGAAUUCCCAGUGUAGAGGUGAAAUUCGUAGAUAUUGGGAAGAACACCAGUGGCGAAGGCGGCCAUCUGGCCUGGAAUUGACGCUGAGGCGCGAAAGCGUGGGGAGCAAACAGG
rnacentral:rRNA from 2 species